GUGGAAAAGUCCUAGACUUGGAGUUUUCUCAGAAUCUUCUGAGAGACUGAGUCUCGGGGCCGUAUUUCCUCUAUCAGGAAACUUGGCCAGUUGUAUUAGCUUUUCAUGGAGGCUUUCAGAUCCCAAAUUCUAUGGUACUUCAGGAGACACUCCGUGGACCAGAAAGCACCCUCCACCCCUUAAAAGACCUGGUUCCACUCGCCCUGUGUCUCUGACACUGAUAUGAUGUAGUCUGGAAGGAGUGGUUUUAUUUAUCUGAGGAUCUGUUUCCUUGUUAUUAAAUGGCAAUGUGUCUAACGCCUCUGCCUACUUCAGAAACACCCUGAAGGUCUAAUGAGAUAUCAAGCUAAAAAGCUCUUUUUUUGCUUUUUACACAAAGAGGCUUAAUAGACAAAAUAGAGUAACAUGGCAGACGGCUCACAGACAUAUCACAUCCUGCUUAAAAUCCAAGGUUUCCAGAGUGAGGAAAAGAGGACCAAUCAGAGACUCUUGUACAGUCAUUUCCUAGGUAACACUCGAACUGACAAACAAAUCCUACUGUAAGCAGGAGAUGGAAAGGAUAAGCUGCCCGUGCUUCCAGAGGUUUACGUGGUUAGCACCCUCCAGCCUGUGCCACCUGCUGGCACUUCAUGGGUGUUUCUGGCAACUGCAUGAGAUCGGCCGUGGUUCAGCAAAGGCUCCUCUUGCUAUCUGCCUCUGGUUAUGCUCAAGAAGGAACCUACGGCAUUACCCAUCCUGAGCUGAGAAGAGCGUCCCUGAAGGCAUUUCAUGGACUGUUUGAUACGGCUUAAUCUUCUAGAACCAGAGGCGCCAAAAGGCCCACCAACUUGCUUGGAAGCCUCUCCUCUACUCCAACAGCCAUCAUGUUGAACACUGAACAUGGUGCAUACACAGAAGCCUAUGAUGGAAGAAUCACAGUCACCUCCACAGUUUUGCUCAGGAGCAUGGAAUCCCAUCUGAGGCUCCUACAGGAACACCACCAACCUCUACACGGCCUGCAGAGCCAGCCUGGCCUCAAGAGCAGGACACACCAGAAAACACCUGUUGAAUGGAUGCACCAGUGAACAGAGAUGGCCACCUCGCCAGAGCCACAAUCCAUGGGGACUGGAGACCAAAUGACGCUAAUGACUGCAGGGAAAUGAACAACUGAGAGGGGCUCCCUUUUAUCACUGGAGGGAAGCUGCUUGGUUCUAGUGAAUGGGAAGGAAUUGUAGGCAAAAACUCAGGGAGGAGACAGACAAGGAGAGCUUGGAAGGGGAACCUUACUAAUUAAGACAGAGAAAACAAAAUUUUGCUAAGCAUCAUUUCUGACUUACAACACAAAGUCAUUUUUCCUUUCUUCCUUGUCCCUCCUCCUUUGCUCUCCCUAUUCCUUCCCUCCUUCUACCCAGAGACUUCCACGUAAACAGGACACAAAAGCAUGACAGAGACCACAGGUGCACACAGAACCUGUGGCCCCCUCUGCAGCUCCGCCUGGAAGUGCCUCCUCUUCCCACGCCUCCUCCCACUCAUCGCCUGCCUUGCCCACAACCACCCUUCCUUCAGAUGUCGCAUGGAGUGUCUGCUUACUGGGGAAGGUCCCCACAUACCUCCCCCUACUCCAGGCUUGACAAAAAAAGCUCCUCUGUGUUCUCAUGUGAUCGUGUCUAUUAUAGCUGUUAUCACUACAUAUUUAAUGUAGCAGCUAAUGAGUCUCUCCCCCAACUGUGCUCCUUGGUAGCAAAAGCCAAGUCCUCUAAGAAGUAAAAGGCUUUGCAGUGCAAUGCAAAAACUCUA
rnacentral:lncRNA from 1 species